rnacentral:hammerhead_ribozyme from 1 species
AUCCAGUGACCAGUCCCAAAUAGGACGAAAUGCAUCAUCCUGGAU